UAGUAGUAAAUCAUUUUUAUUAAAACUUAUUUAUAACGGCGGCAUUUUCUUUAUUUAAAGAAACCUGUAAUUUAAUUGAUAACCCACAUUUUUUUUCACUUUUUUUAAAAAUUUAUAUAUCGUCAUUAAAAGAAUUAAUCUAAAAUUUUUAUUCUUAAAAAAAAUUAAAACAUUAGAUCAAGGUGUAAUAAAUAAAAAAGAUAUUAAUGGGUUGCAUUAAAUUCAAUUUAAAGAUUAUUCUUUUAUAUAAGUUUAUAAAAUAGGAUUUAAAAUCAAUAUUUUUAAUAAUAUUUUAAUAUGAAAUAAAAUAUUAAUGUGC
rnacentral:rRNA from 1 species